rnacentral:rRNA from 1 species
ACGGGGGGUGCGAGCGUUGUCCGGAAUCACUGGGCGUAAAGGGCGCGUAGGUGGUUUGAUAAGGGUGUGGUGAAAGCCCGGGGCUCAACCCCGGGUCUGCCGUGCCGACUGUUAAACUCGAGGGCUGUAGAGGCAGACGGAAUUCCGGGUGUAGCGGUGGAAUGCGUAGAGAUCCGGAGGAACACCGACGGCGUAGGCAGCGCCCUGGACGACACCUGACGCUGAGGCACGAAAGCUGGGGGAGCGAACAGGA